GAUGAACGCUAGCUACAGGCUUAACACAUGCAAGUCGAGGGGAAACGACAUCGAAAGCUUGCUUUUGAUGGGCGUCGACCGGCGCACGGGUGAGUAACGCGUAUCCAACCUGCCCACCACUUGGGGAUAACCUUGCGAAAGUAAGACUAAUACCCAAUGAUAUCUCUAGAAGACAUCUGAAAGAGAUUAAAGAUUUAUCGGUGAUGGAUGGGGAUGCGGCUGAUUAGCUUGUUGGCGGGGUAACGGCCCACCAAGGCUACGAUCAGUAGGGGUUCCGGAAGGAAGGUCCCCCACAUUGGAACUGAGACACGGUCCAAACUCCUACGGGAGGCAGCAGUGAGGAAUAUUGGUCAAUGGACGGGAGUCUGAACCAGCCAAGUAGCGUGCAGGAUGACGGCCCUAUGGGUUGUAACCUGCUUUUAUAAGGGAAUAAAGUGAGUCUCGUGAGACUUUUUGCAUGUACCUUAUGAAUAAGGACCGGCUAAUUCCGUGCCAGCCGCCGCGGUAA
rnacentral:rRNA from 1 species